AUUGAACGCUGGCGGCAUGCCUUACACAUGCAAGUCGAACGGCAGCACGGGAGCAAUCCUGGUGGCGAGUGGCGAACGGGUGAGUAAUAUAUCGGAACGUGCCCAGUCGUGGGGGAUAACGCAGCGAAAGCUGUGCUAAUACCGCAUACGAUCUACGGAUGAAAGCGGGGGAUCGCAAGACCUCGCGCGAUUGGAGCGGCCGAUAUCAGAUUAGCUAGUUGGUGGGGUAAAGGCCCACCAAGGCGACGAUCUGUAGCUGGUCUGAGAGGACGACCAGCCACACCGGAACUGAGACACGGUCCAGACUCCUACGGGAGGCAGCAGUGGGGAAUUUUGGACAAUGGGCGCAAGCCUGAUCCAGCAAUGCCGCGUGCAGGAUGAAGGCCUUCGGGUUGUAAACUGCUUUUGUACGGAACGAAACGGCCCUUUCUAAUACAGGGGGCUAAUGACGGUACCGUAAGAAUAAGCACCGGCUAACUACGUGCCAGCAGCCGCCGUAAAAC
rnacentral:rRNA from 1 species